UGCCCCGUGACACAAUAACCAAACCCCGGCGCGUUAUGCGUCAAGGAAUAUAAUCAUGAGUUUGUCCAUCCAUAUGAUCGGGUUUCCGGUGUAUGGGUGUGACACCAAUGUAAGUCAUAAAAUGA
rnacentral:misc_RNA from 1 species